UACAGAGACUGCAAGCGUUGUUCGGAUUCACUGGGCGUAAAGGGUGCGCAGGCGGCCAAGUGUGUCAGGUGUGAAAUCCCGGGGCUUAACUCCGGAACUGCGCCUGAAACUACUUGGCUAGAGCAUUGGAGAGGGAAGUGGAAUUCACGGUGUAGCAGUGAAAUGCGUAGAUAUCGUGAGGAACACCAGAGGCGAAGGCGACUUCCUGGACAAUUGCUGACGCUCAGGCACGAAAGCGUGGGGAGCCAAAGGG
rnacentral:rRNA from 1 species